CUCCGGGUCGACACGUAUCCUGCGCAGGAGACAGAGGUGUCGACCUAGAUUUUUUUUUUUUUUUGGUUCUUUUUUUUUCCGGAGCUGGAGACCGAACCCAGGGCCUUGUGCUUCCUAGGUAAGUGCUCUACCACUGAGCUAAAUCCCCAGCCCCUAGAUUUCUUUUUUAAAUUUAUUUACUUAAUGUAUAUGAGUACACAGUAGGUGUCUUCAGACACACCAGAAGAGGACAUCAGAUCCCAUUACAGAUGAUUGUGAGCCACCAUGUGGUUGCUGAGAAUUGAACUCAGGACUUCUGGAAGAGCAGUCGGGUGCUCUUAACCGCUGAGCCAUCUCUCCAGCCCCCUUAGUCCUAUUUUAAAAAUAGUUUUUUUUUUUUUGGUUCUUUUUUUUUUCGGAGCUGGGGACUGAACCCAGGGUCUUGCGCUUCCUGGGCAAGUGCUCUACCACUGAGCUAAAUCCCCAACCCCUUAAAAAUAGUUUUAAACAAUCCCUACAUGUAUAAUAGUUCUUAUGUUUGAAAAAUCUAUAGGAAAGAUUUGUUGGUUUUUGAAUCAUGAGAGGAAAAAAAGAAUUACUGGUGACAGUCAGGGCCCAAACUUAACCCAUGUGGCCUGUCUCUAAGCCCUCUGUGCUACCUGGAGGUCCCCUAGGAACCUCCCCCCACCCCCGGAGGUUCCUGGAGAGAAGGUGGUUUACCUAGGGCAUGGGUCCCACCCUGUGGGGAGAAGGCAUUGUGGAUAGUGAGAAGGGCAGGGGAGCCAAAGCCAGAACUUAAUCUGAUGUGGUAGCUCUUUAGAAGCAAGAAGGGAGCCAGGCACAAUGGUGCAUGCCUUUAAUUUUAGCAUUUAUGAGGCAGAGUCAGGCGCAUCUCUGUGAGUUUGAGGCCGGUUUGUUCUACAUAGCAAGUUCUAGGACAGCUAGGGCUACACAGAGAAAUCCUGUCUCAAAAACAAAACAAAAACAAUAGAAGCAAGAAAGGGGAUGAUGGAGAGGAACCGGGUUCAAUGUUGGCAGAUGUAGAGGCCAGAGGGCGUGGGCGAGCACAUAGAUGGGUGGGAGCCACUGCUGGAGUCCACAUGCAUUGGCCUGUGCUGCAACUGGGGUGCUGCCACUGUAGGGUGGGGUGCUGGCUACUGCACAUGGAGAGGCUGCAGCAGAAGGGUGGGAUGAAACACUGCGGGGGCACACAGAAGAAAAGUAGAGGUUGGCCACUGGCUAGCAUUAAUACCCAGGCCCCAGCAUCAGGCAGAGGAGCUAAGUUCAGUAUUUGAUAGGCUUGAGGUUGGGAUGAACCUGCAGGAAGAGGUUCUUACAGUUGUCAAGGCCGGAGAUCAGAAUCUGGCACCUCCAUUCUUCAGCUUUGUGUCCUUGGGUAAUAUAAUGCUCUUCUAUGCCUUAGCGCCGAUACUUUCAAUAACAGUACCUUCCUUCUAGAAUAUUCCAGAGGCGAAAUGAACAGACAGAGUGCUCCAAACACAGGUCUAGCUUACAGGAAAUACCUAAAGUGUACCUACCGGUCUUGUGGUCUUGUUUCUGUCUUUGCUUUUCUCCCCUGAGGCUUCUCAUCCCAGAAGCCUUGGCUCCAUUGAAUUCUGCUUAUGCUCUGAACAGUGUACAUAUUUUGUGAACUUGGGGACUGCUGUUUGGAUGAUGAAGGUCUUCCGAAGCCUUUCUACACUUUUCUUCUUGAUUAGAGCACUUUCCGGUGCUUAGAAUCAAUGUGGAGGCCUUGGAUUGUGAGCUCUUCUCAACCAUCCUCCAGUGUCUGCCUCUCAAGGAAGUCCUGGGCAAAAGCCCCAAUCCAGGUCCCCUGAGGUCUUGUGUGGGAGUGUCUUGGAGAUCCCAUAUCUGCUCAGUUAGUGUGUGUGUGUGUGUGUGUGUGUGUGUGUGUGUGUGUGUGUGUGCGCGCGCGCCUGAAACUCAUUUUGUAGACCAGACUGGCUUAGAACUCAUGAGAUCCAUUUGGUUUGUGUGUGUGCGCAUGUAUGCGUGUGUUCGUGUGUACAUCCAUGUGUGUGUAUAUGUGUAUAUGUGUGUGAGCACACUCUUUUUUUUUUUUUUUGGUUCUUUUUUUCGGAGGUGGGGACCGAACCCAGGGCCUUGCGCUUCCUAGGCAAGCGCUCUACCACUGAGCUAAAUCCCCAACCCGUGAGCACACUCUUGAGUGCAGCAUCACUGCCUGAUCUGGCACCGGGCUUUUUAUGUGGGUCCCAGGGAUCAAACAUAGGCUUUUGGUCAGUUAACACUUAAUCCUACUGAGCCAUCUCCAUGGAUCCCUGAUCAGUUAUUGUAUUAAAUCCCUUCAGGUUUCUUUCUCCUGAGCCACUAGCAGUCCCUGAGAGCGCACUGCUUCCCACACAACCUGCUGACACUCAGUCUCAUCCAGAGUUGGGAUUUGGCCACAUUUGGGUACUGAGCAAUGGCCUAUCGCUGUAUUUCUUUGCUCAGUGGUGAGUGCAAGCAGUUUGGCACUGCUUGGCCAUCUGGCCACUGAGGAUGCCUGGGCAAGGUCAGUUUGGCAUGAAGGGCUUGUGGUCUGGCAGGUGGGUUCCUCCUCCUUUAUUAUUUCAAUAUUUGAGGACACUAGGGAAAGACAUGAGUGGCCUGAACAUUAGACAUCUAGACAUCCCUGUAUAGGCACAUGCACACUACACAUCUUUCCUCCCUCACCUCCUUCCUCCUUCCCUCCCUCUCCUCUCCCCUCCCUCCCCUCUUCUUAAGUCAUCCUUCCAGCUUCUCCCUCUAUCCACAGAGCUCAGCAGUUCUUCCCAGCUCCUGAGACUGACUGUUCAGGUAAGUCAGGCUUCUCAGCUGACCCACAGGGUCUUUCUCUCCUGAGAAGGUGGGUGGGCACUUCCUGAAACAGCAUAUGGAAGUGUUCCUGUUACUCAAGCUUCCCCAAAGCCAGGAAAAUGGCCUUGUGCAGGGUCUGUCCUGGGAGAAAGCCUGGUGUGUAGUAUCUGAUGUGCUCUUUGGGGUGAUUCUACUCUGUCUAGUUCAUCUUCUUCACAGCACUGUUGACAUCUUAGAAACAUAGGUAACCCAAGUCAUUCAGACAUCAGAAGCCACACAGGUGAGCCCUUAGGAAAGCUGUAUAAAAGGAAAGGAUUCAGUGGCGGAGAGAUCAGGGCUCAAAAGGGACCACUUGGCCAGGUGGGGAAGCAUAUGCCUUUAAUCCCAGCAUCUGGGAGGCAAAGGCAGGUGGAUCUCUGAGUUCGAGGCCAGCUUGGUCUACAGGAUGAGUUCCAGGACAGCCAGGGCUACAGAGAAACCCUGUCUUGGAACAAACAGACAAAGAACUGCUUGUGCCUGGGUGUGGUGAUAUACUCCUUUAAUCUCAGUCCCCAGGAGGUUGAAGCAGGAGGAUCACUGAAUUCCAGGGCGGACUGGCCUACAUAGUGAGACUCUAGUCUCACACCUCUACCCCCCUCCCAUGCUAGUAUCUUUUUGCUUCAGACAGGAUUUUGCUAUGUAGGUCAGGUUGGCCUUGAACUCAAGCACCUCCUGCCUCAGCUUCCUGUGGGCCUGUAUCACCAUGCCUGGCUGCUCCUGUUUCUGGAGAGUUCACUGUGGCAGCAGACUGCUCUGAAGCUGCCAUGUGGUGAGAAGUACAGAGAAGGUGCAGGAAGAAGUCCCAGGCCAAGUCAACCGGCGAGGUGCUUAGCCAUUAUCUGGCUCCUGAAGUCCUCCACUGACCAUGUCUGGCUGCUGUUUGAUCCAGUGCAAGGGGGAGGGGGGCUGAACUAGACGUGCACAGCUGGGCCCCCUCAAAGUCCCUCAUGCAUUUACAUGGGAAGGAUUAUAAAAUGAUUGCUGUUAUUUUUGAGCAGGAAGGUGUGGGCUGCUUGUUACACAGCAGUGCUAAUCCCAUGGGUUUCUCACUAGUUGACAGAUAAUGGAUCCCAUUUAGUGCUUGGUCCCCAGCACCUUUGGCGUGUACCACAGAUACUUGGUGUAUGAAAAAGUGAAAGUUUUCAGGCACAGUGGCUCACACUUACAAUCUCAGUUCUUCAGAGGUUAAACAGAAGGGUUGUCCUAUGUUUGAGACCAGCCUGAACCACACAGUGGAAGCCUGAAAGGAGAAAAAACACCACGUAUGCUGGCAACACACUUAUAAUCCCAGCACUUUGGAGGCCAAGGCAGGAUGAUCAUCAUGAGGCCAUCUUGGACUACACAGUUUCAGGCCAACCUGAGCUACACAGUGAGGCCCUAGUCUCUUAAAAAACAAAAACAAACAAACAAAAAACCAAUAACCCAGAAUGAAUGGACCAGUGAGAUGGCUCAUUGCUACUGAAGCCUGACAACCUGAGUUGAUCCUCCUGUCCACAGCAGCCUGAUAUGCACAUCUGUAAUUCUAGUAUCUUAAGUCUGGAUAGGAAACAGAGAAGGAUCUCCUGGGAGCUUGCAGGCCCACCAGCCUGCAGUACAGAGUGGCAGAAAACAGGAGAGACUGCCUCAACAACUGAAGAGAAAGAUCUCAGUCCUGAAAGUUGUCCUCUGACCUCUGCCUGUGGCCUGGGCACAUUUGCACUCAAAUACCCAUAACUUGUGGCUAAAGAGUUAGGUGGCUCAGUGGUUAAGAGUGUUAGGGUUGGGGUUGGGGAUUUAGCUCAGCGGUAGAGCGCUUGCCUAGCGAGCACAAGGCCCUGGGUUCGGUCCCCAGCUCCGAAAAAAAGAAAAAAGAAAAAAAAAAGAGUGUUAGGGUUUAAAUCUCAGCCCGUGCCCAGACAGAACACACCAAGGCAACAUGGUUUCACAUGGAGAAGUUUAAUGAGAGAAGAAGAGUAGAGGAGAGGAAAGGUGGCUGGCCAUGGGCACGUGGAGGGAAGGGGGAAGGGGGCAAGAACAGAGAAGAACAAAGAGUAAGAGGGGGUAAGAGGGAGGGGAGGGGGGCUGGAGAGAUGACUCAACGGUUAAAAGCACUGACUGCUCUUCCUGAGGUCCUGAGUUCAAAUCCCAGCAACCACAUGGUGGCUUACAACCAUCUGUAAUGAGAUCUGAUGCCCUUUUCUGGUAUGUCUGAAGACAGAGAAAGUGUACUUAUAUAGAGUAAAUAAAUAAAUCUUUAAAAAAUAAAGGGAGAGGAGGGGGCAAGCAGCCCCUUAUAUAGUCAGACACAGCUGGCUGUUGCUAGGCAACUGUGGGCCAGAGCAUACCUGGCUGUUCACAGGUAGCCCUGUGGGUGGAGCUUAGACAGAAUACCAACAAAGAGUACCAGUUGUUCUUUCAGAGGACUUAAGUUCAAUUUUGGUUCUAGCACUCACAUUAGGUGGUUCACAAGUGCCUGUAACUCCAGUUCCAGGGGCUCCAAAGGCCUCUUCUGGCUUGUGGGGACACCCACAUACAUGUGGCGUACAUUCAACCAAACACACACAUACAAAUAAGAAAUUAAAAUAAAUCUAAAACGACACCCAUGUCACUCACACACACACACACACACACACACACACACACACACACACACACACUAACAAUAAAUAAAUGGAGUAAAAGUUAAUGGAGCCAUGGCAGCAUGAUAUCAGAGGAAUUAAAGGGCACCCAGCUCAGCCUGAGAGGUUCAGAAAGUCUCCUUGGAGGAGGGGCUCUGUGUCCUUUGGGUGGGCUGAGGACCCAGAGAAUACCUGCAUACCUACUGAGUCUGUUGUUUUCUCGUCUCACCAGAAGAUCCCUGGUUUGGUGUGCGUCCAAGAAGCCGGUGCCCACAUCUGUUUGGGGCCCCUUCCUUCCCCUCUUCCUCCCUCCCUCUCCAGGCCUGCAGGCUCACUCAUGCCUCUAACUCUAGGUCUGGCUGAGGAAAAUUAAGUCGAUGGGGAGGGAGGAGUUGACAAAUAGAAGGUCUGGUAAUUGAAUUUUUCCCUCUCCCUCUGCCCAGAGAGAGCUGGAAGAAUGGCUCUCAAGAGCAGCUCUCCCUGCUCAGGGACCCCGGGCAGUUUCACCCCUCCCUGUCUAAGCCAGUGACAGGGAUACAGAAGAAGCAGAACCUUCUAGCAUCUUGAGAGCUAAGCUUUGUACAGAGAGGGAAACUGAGCCAGUGGAGAUGGCAGGUCUGCUCCCUGGGUGCCCAGUGUGCUAAAACAGAAGCCAGGACUGGAAGACACAGGCCAGAUAGGUCAACUUUCCAAGAAGCCAGAUACGUGAACACCUUGAGACUGCAGAGGACUGGCUCCCAACCCUCUCUCACCUCCUGGCAUUCGGUUCUGAGUGACCCUCACCCACAUCCCAUUCUUCUGAGGCUUCUGAGUUUCAGUCUGCUCACUCCUGCUGGCCAGCGAGCUCCCUUGGCUGGAUUUCUAUGACUUGAGGCAACAGAUAUGGCCUUUUGCAUUCAGACACAUCUAGGUUCAAAACCCAUCCCAGCUACCUUCUAGCAGUGGCCACUGGACUGUUCUCUAUUUUUUUUUAAAUGGCAGUGAAGACUGGUCUGUGGGGCUGCUGUGGAGUUUAGUGACCCUACUCAUGAAGCUCUGUACUGUGUCAACCAUCCCUAGACACUAGGGCAGACAGACAUCCUAGGCAAUUGAGCUGACAACGCGUGGGACAGCAGCACCAAGAUGUCACCUGCACCCACAGGCCUCACCUGUACUUCUUUUUAAUUUUGUUUUUUUUGAGACAGGGUUUCUCUGUGUAACCUUGGCUGUCCUGAAACUCACUCUGUAGACCAGGCUGGCCUUGAACUCAGAGAUCCUCCUGCCUUACCUCUGAGUGCUGGGAUUAAAGGCAUGCGCCAUAGCCUCCCAACUUCACCUGGUCUUAAUUGUGCACCCACAGGCCCCACCAGCAACCAUAGAUGAGCGUUUUCUGCACAGAGGGUACUUGAUGUUUUUUCUCAGGAAACCCACUUAGCCUCUCCUCAUAGCUUCUGACUGGCACUCCUUCCUUCACACCUGUCCUUUGUUGCUCUUUUUCCUGAACCCAGGCCUUACACCUAGAGGGUGCUUAUCAGGAUGUGGCCCUUAACUAUACGUCUUGAAGAUCCUGUCCCACUGACUCAGGCCUGGGAGGGACAGUGGCCUGACUAACUCAGGCCUAUUGAGAGGUGUCUCAAUCUGCUUUCUGUUGCCAACAGCUCAGUGCCACAGACAGGGUGAGGUGGAAAGAGAAUGAAGUUCCGGUUUACUGUUAUGGGCCACAUCUGGUGAUGGCUUUUCUGCUGGCAGUGUCCCAAGGUGCAAGGCAUCAUGUAGUAAAAGUCAGUCUCUCUCUCUCUCUCUCUCUCUCUCUCUCUCUCUCUCUCUCUGUUCUGGUCUCUUCUAAAGCCAUCAGGAUUCAAUCAUAGACCUCUGUUCUGAUGAACUUUUCUAAUCCAACCAUUUCCUUUAUUUUUAAAAUUAAGUGUAUUUAUUGUGCAUGUGUGUGUGUGUGUGUGGCACAUGUGUGCAGGUCAGAGAACAAUUGCAGGAGUCCAUUCUUUUCUUCUGCCAUGUGGGUUUUGGGGAUUGAAUUCAGUUUUCAGGUUUCUAUGGCAAACAUCCUUACCCACGGAGCCAUCUUGUAGACCCAAGACACACCUUUAAAUAGCAUCCCUGAUUAAAGUUCCAUUCUCUUAAUGCCCUGCAACUGAGACUAGAUUUCAGCAUGAUCUGGUAAGGCCAAACUAGUAAAAUACCAAGGACCAUCUUUGCACUGAUCAAGAAAGCAAAACCCUGUUCAUAGCAGUGAGAUCUGUGGGUGCAGGGUUAGGGCUGCAGGUGAGGUCUGUGGGUGCAGGGUUAGGGCUGCAGGUGAGGUCUGUGGGUGCAGGGUUAGAAUUGCAGGUGAGGUCUGGGUGCAGGGUUAGGGCUGCAUCACAGAUACUAUGGCCAGUUCACCUUCCUAGGAAGUGAUACCAGCUGAGGCAUGGAGUGACUUGUCCAGUACCUAGGAUAAAGUGUCAGAGCAAAAUGGAAGACUUGUGGGCUCAAUUGUACAGUGCUGUUUCCACUUCUCCCUGGAGGUGGUGGAGGAGUCUUGGGCUUCAGCAGCUGAAGGUGUCUCCCAGAUUCCUUCUUGCAGAGGGGAGGCCCUGCAAGCCAUGGCUCUGGGUGGUUGGGAACUGCAGGGAACUCUUUCUGCGGGGCUAAGUCAGCAGUGCAGCAGGAGGCAGGGUCUGCCUGAGGCCCACUGCAUGCCUGUACCUGUUGUCUCCUUUCUGUUUCCCUCUUAAUUCAGAGCCUCCCCAAGAGGACGGAGCCUCAGCAAAGCUUCAGUGAGCCGGUGGGACGAGUGAAGACUGGAGCCGAGCUGGACCAGGCCCUUUUUGGCCAUGAGCCAUAUCAAGGAACCUGAAGCCACGUCUGCAAGCAGUUCAUUCUCCAGUCCCCUGCCCCGACCUUCAACUGAAUUUUUAGUUGAAUGUGUAACCCCUCACACUAUUCCCUGCUCUGCUAGGCUUUCUACCUCUGCUCUCCCUUCCCAGCUGCUACAGGUAACUUUCCCUUUGUGGCAGUUUCUCUCUGCUGCCUACUACACCUCCUUAGCAAGUCUGGUCCUGAUCCUUUCCGACCCAGAGAAGCCCGGCAGCCAGCCCAGCUCCCAUCAUUUUUACUGGCAAAGGCUGUCCUUGUAGGAAGCAACUAAGAGUACUUGUUGAUUGGUGUCACACUGAAGUAUUGUGGAUCAUUUGAGCAGGGACCUGGAUGUCUUGUCCCCCAGAACAAGCCCUAGAAUACAGUGCUUAUCUGUUCACCCUGUUUGCAUUUUAUUUGCUUAGACAGGGUCUAUGUAGCCCAGGCUACCUUUGGACUUGAUAAUCCUCCCGCCUCAGUAUCAUGAGUGCUGAACAACCAUCUUCAGAUUUCUUUUGGGGGAAAUGAGACACAAAGUGCAGAAGUCUUGAGAAGCCUGUGGCUGAGAAAGCAUAGUUCUCAGAGAGGGAGUUGUGGUGAAGGGAGCCAGGCUGUCAUCUUAGGGGUUGGGCCAUGGAGACAAGGACGGCCCUAUUGACACACCUGAACUGUUAACUGUUGGUGGUGAUCUCAGACUUGAUAUAACUAUUGAUGCUGGUCUCUAGAUAUGUUCAAUUGAAAUUAGAUUGAAGGGGCUGGAGAGGUGGCCCAGCGGUUAAGAGCACUUGACUGCUCUUCCAGAGGUCCUGAGUUCAAUUCCCAGCAACCACAUGGUGGCUCACAACCAUCUGUAAUGAGCAUCUGAUGCCCUCUUCUGGUGUGUCUGAAGUCAGCAACUGUACCUACAUACACGAAAUAAAUAAAAAAAUCCGAAAUUAAA